UACGAAAGGUGCAAGCGUUACUCGGAAUCACUGGGCGUAAAGCGCACGUAGGCGGACUCGUAGGUCAGUUGUGAAAUACCUGGGCUCAACCCGGGAACUGCAGCUGAAACCGCUUGUCUUGAAUACCUGAGAGGGUGGGGGAAUUCCUGGUGGAGAAGUGAAAUUCGUAGAGAUCAGGUGGAACACCGGAGGCGAAGGCGCCUGCCUGGCAGUGUAUUGACGCUGAGGUGCGAAAGUGCGGGGAGCAAACAGG
rnacentral:rRNA from 1 species